GAUGAACGCUGGCGGCGCGCCUAACACAUGCAAGUCGAACGAUUAAAGCACCUUCGGGUGUGUAUAAAGUGGCGAACGGCUGAGUAACACGUGGGCAACCUGCCCCUUUCAUUGGGAUAGCCACGGGAAACCGUGGAUAAUACCGAAUACUUCGAGACUUCCGCAUGGAAGACCCGAGAAAGCUCCGGCGGUGAGGGAUGGGCCCGCGGCCUGUUAGCUUGUUGGUGGGGUAACGGCCUACCAAGGCAAUGCUGGGUAGCUGGGUUGAGAGGCCGACCAGCCAGAUUGGGACUGAGACACGGCCCAGACUCCUACGGGAGGCAGCAGUGGGGAAUCUUGCACAAUGGGCGAGAGCCUGAUGCAGCGACGCCGCGUGCGGGAUGAAGGCCUUCGGGUUGUAAACCGCUUUCAGCAGGGACGAGGCGAAAGUGACGGUACCUGCAGAAGAAGCCCCGGCUAACUACGUG
rnacentral:rRNA from 1 species